UUGAUGGGGUUGUUUGUUUCUUGUAAAUUUGUUUCAGUUCUUUGUAGAUUCUGGAUAUUAGCCCUUUGUCAGAUGGAUAGAUUGCAAAAAAAUUUCUCCCAUUCCACAGGUUGCCUCUUCACUCUCAUGAUUGUUUCUUUUGCUGUGCAGAAGCUCUUUAGGUUAAUUAGAUGCCAUAUGUCAAUUCUGGCUUUUGUUGCCAUUGCUUUUGGUGUUUUAGGCAUGAAGUCUUUGCCCAUGCCUAUGUCCUGAAUUGUAUUGCCUAGGUUUUCCUAGGUUUUCUUCUAGGGUUUUUAUUGUUUUAGGUCUUACAUUUAAAUCUUUACUCCAUCUUAAGUUCAUUUUUGUAUAACAUGGAAGGAAGGGGUCCAGUUUUAGUUUUCUGCCUAUGGCUAGCCAGUUUUCCCAACAUCAUUUAUUAAAUAAGAAAUCAUUUCCCCAUUGGUUUUUUUUGGUCAGAUUUGUCAAAGAUCAGAUAGUUGUAGAUUUGUGUUGUUAUUUUUGCUAUUUCUCAGGUCUCUGUUGUGUUUCAUUGGUCUAUGUAUCUGUUUUGGUACCAGUACCAUGCUAUUUUGGUUACUGUAGCCUUAUAGUAGAGUUUGGAGUCAAGUGGUGUGAUGCCUGCAGCUUCGUUUGUUUUGUUAAAAAUUUUGUGUUUAUCAUUUGACAGUGACCAUGCUAGAUAUUUUGUACAACUACUCCAGUUAAUUCCUAUAAUAAUUCUAUGUUGUGUCUGUUAAUAACCGACCAUCCAAUCACACCAGGAAUAAAACUGUAAUCAAAUUAGACAUUCUGUUGCUUGUGAUAGCAAAGAGAUAGCUGGGAAACCAUGAAGUAUCUUAAUAAGGUGUUAGGAAGAGCUUAUUUUAGGAUUUGGCUUUGUGUUAAGUGAUUUUAAGGAAGGAUUAAGGAAUUGAGGGUUACUCUGGGUAUGUAAUUAUUAAGAAGCAGAGAUAAUUCUAUGAUUGAAUGUUUUAAAGAGCCUUGAUGAAGCUGGACUAACAGAAGGAGACUAAAAUUCUAAUUGCUUAGGAAACAUAAGUAAUCCAAGGUAGC
rnacentral:lncRNA from 1 species